AUUUGGUGUUUGACAAGUAUUGAAUCCAUGGUUCAUUGACGCAAAACCCAAGGAUUGAGCUAAGUCUAUCAGCAACAUCUACAACUUGACCUUUAUUAUUUGUUGCUCUACAAAGGCAGAGAUGGCACCACAUGAUGACUCAGUUAUUUGCCGAAGAAGCUCUACAUCUUUCAAGAUUCCUUUGUCACUCCCUCUAUAAACUUCCUCUAUGUCUCG
rnacentral:misc_RNA from 1 species